GGGGAUGUAGCUCAGCUGGGAGAGCGCCUGGUUUGCAACCAGGAGGUCAGCGGUUCGAUCCCGCUCAUCUCCACCA
rnacentral:tRNA from 2 species